UCACCACCCCCAGACACACAAAAACGAACACCACAGAGAAAGUACAAAACCCAAGCCCUGCUCUUUGUGAAACACGCAUUUAAAAACAUAAAGAAGCAGCGCGCAAGUGGAAGAAAAGAUUUGCAAAACGAUAAAGUGAAAUGAUCUCCUGGGAAGAAUGGGAAGCAGGAGACAGGCAGAGUGAAACGUCAGGGCGUUUCUCUGCGCUGUGGCUCCACCCGGGUGACCAAAGCCCGGGACGGCUCUGCGGGAGGCUCCGACAUUUCCUCCACGGGGUAAACAGCGGUGUCCUCGGCAUUCCGUCACAAGGUCCGGGUCCCAAAGGAGCUGACUGAGGGCCCCACGUUCCUUCAUUGCGUUCCGGCUCUGUCUCUGCUGCGGGACAGUUCCUGGACCGCGCGAGCCGGACCAAGGGGACCAAGAAGGAAGAUCAGAGUGAGGAGCUGUCUGAGUGUUUAAGAUCACACAGUAACAUCCUGUUUGAUGGCUUCAGAAAUCCUUCAUGAGCUGGGAGACAGCACCCAAGGUUACAGGUCCUCUGAGAAGCAGAUGCCUACAUGGGAUUCACAUGAGGAGAUUUCAUUGGUGGAAACCCUGGAAGAACCAUUCAGCAGGAUGCACUUCUGAAGCCAAGUGCAGGAGGAAGGGACAGGAGGUUGCGCAGGUGCAUCCUACACUACAGUGAAUGGUGCUGGGACAACUGGAUGGCACAUGCGGAAGAAUGAAGCAUACCCCUUCCUUACAGCACACACAAAAAGUAGCUCUUCAUGAAUGCCAGAUGUCCUCCUAAAACAUGAAACUAUGAAAGUCUCAGAAGAAAAUACAGCAGUAAAUGUUUGUGACCUCAGAUUUAGCAAAGGCUUCUUAAGUACUGUAUACCAAUAGCACAAAUGGCAAAAUACAAGGUAGUUUAAUUUCAUUUCAUGCAAAUGCAAAACUUCUGUGCUUCAAAAAGGACUCCAUUUAGAAGGUUAAAAAAAAAACCUUACAGAAUGAGAGAAAAUAUUUAAAAAUCAUAUGUCUGGUGAGGGACUGGUAUGCUGAAUAUGUAAAGAACUCUUACAGAUCAAUGUUAUGAAGUGCAAUAACCCAAUUUAAAUAUAUGCAAUGAAUUUGAACAGACAUUUCUCAAAAGUGAGUCAGGUACACUACAUUAUGGUCUCAAAACAAUAGAAAAUUUUAGGCAGCAGUUUCAGGUGACAAGCAAAAAGAAUCCAUUGAAGUAUCUGCAGAGGCUCUGGACUGAUAAGAUGCUGCAAAACGGCAUGUGGACCAAGCCGACUAAGAACUAGUGGACCCAACAUGGCCCCGGAUUUGACCUAGGUUUCACCUGGGACCUCAUCACAUGCUGAUUAACAUACUAAACACCCAACAGCCAGCUCCCUAGCAGCUCUGAGAAUACCCAUUUUUGGUGUGAAAAUGGGUUGCACCACAGUUCUGAGAAAUCUCCACCUUCUUCCAGGAAUUUUUAUAAAUAUUCCACUCCUUGGUUGAAGAAACCCAGAAAGGUGACAGUCACAAACCCCCUUGCACCUCUCUCUUGAGUUUCCCUGCACUCCCUUCACUGCAGUAUGUACUUUUCCUUUUACA